GGUGGCUCAGUGGUAGAGUGCUUGCUUUGCGUGCAUGAGGUCCUGGGUUCGAUUCCUCAGCACCA
rnacentral:tRNA from 1 species